rnacentral:rRNA from 1 species
AGAAUCAACGCUGGCGGCGUGCCUAACACAUGCAAGUCGCACGAGAAAGGGGAGCAAUCCCUGAGUACAGUGGCGCACGGGUGAGUAACACGUGAAUGAUCUACCUCCGAGUGGGGAAUAACUGAGAGAAAUCUUAGCUAAUACCGCAUAAUACCCACGGGUCAAAGCAGUAAUGCGCUUGGAGAGGAGUUCGCGGCAGAUUAGUUAGUUGGCGGGGUAAUGGCCCACCAAGACGAUGAUCUGUAUCCGGCCUGAGAGGGCGCACGGACACACUGGAACUGAAACACGGUCCAGACUCCUACGGGAGGCAGCAGUGGGGAAUUUUGCGCAAUGGGGGAAACCCUGACGCAGCAACGCCGCGUGGAGGAUGAAGCCCCUUGGGGUGUAAACUCCUUUCGAUCGGGAAGAUAAUGACGGUACCGAUAUAAGAAGCCCGGCUAACUUCGUGCCAGCAGCCGC